rnacentral:rRNA from 1 species
UGGCGACCGGCGCACGGGUGCGUAACGCGUAUGCAACCUACCUUUAACAGGGGGAUAACACUGAGAAAUUGGUACUAAUACCCCAUAAUAUCAUAGAAGGCAUCUUUUAUGGUUGAAAAUUCCGAUGGUUAGAGAUGGGCAUGCGUUGUAUUAGCUAGUUGGUGGGGUAACGGCCCACCAAGGCGACGAUACAUAGGGGGACUGAGAGGUUAACCCCCCACACUGGUACUGAGACACGGACCAG